ensembl:lncRNA
GCUUAAGUGUAUUCACAAGUAAGUGAUGUGCUGUUCCUGAGUGUACAAAUGUUUUCUCUUACUUGUUCGCAGGGGUGAAACCUAAAAGCCCUCUUUAUUGAAAUCCCAUAUUGUGGUGAUGGUCUGUAUUAUGUGGUUUUGGCUGGAGAGUGAGAGUGUACAUCUGUCCUGUUGAAAGGGUUCUGCUCUCAGUGCCUUGAGGAACAGGAAGUUGCCAGCUGGUCUGGCACACCUCUGUGUUUGACCCGUGGCUGUGUGAGUAUGUGUGUGUGUGUGUGUGUGUGUGUGUGUGUCUCCCAAGUGGUUGAAGGUACAAUGGAGCCCAGAAGACACACGAUCAACUCACUACACCUGGCAGACCUCACACACACACACACACACACACACACACACACAGAGAGAGAGAGAGAGAGAGAGAGAGAGAGAACAUAUGCAUUUGCAAUCUCUCUCUAACAAACACACACACUGUGGUACUAGAGUGGUCCUAUCCACAGGGGAGAGGAACAAGGGGCCAAAGUGGGACGUCUAGGGUCACGGUGGUUUGUGAGUGCUUGAGCAGCCCACCUGGGCAGAGGCUUUACCCUGAGCACACACACACAUCUGGAGCCCUGAUCUCAAGACCAGACAACACAGGCCACGAUCAGACAUCUCAAAACAAAACUCCAGCUGCUGGAUCAUCUUCCUCUCAUCACACAGACACUGAUGUGGAUGGAACGAUAGACAGGACUCGUCUGAUGCAACCUGACACACAACAGCUGUUUUGUUUUGUGUUAUUUAUUUAUUUAUUUUGUUUUUAAUUAUUUAUUUGUGUGUGUGUGUGUGUGUGUGUGUGUGCGUGUGUGUGUGUGUGUGUGUGUGUGUGUGUGUGUGUGUGCUUUGUGUUUUAGUCUUUGUAUUGGUUUUGUGUUUAGUAUUGGUUUUGUUUUGUAUUUUGUUUUAGUUUUGUAUUGGUUUUGUUUUUAGUAUUUGUUCUGUGUUUUGUAUUGGUUUUGUUUUGUUUUGUGUUAGUAUUGGUUUUGUUUUGUGUUUUGUAUUGGUUUUGUUUAGUUUUUAUUGUAUUUGGGGGGGUUGUAUUGUUUUUUUUUUAGUAUUUGUUUUAUGUUUUGUAUUGGUUUUGUUUUUGUAUGUGUUUGUAUUGGUUUUGAUUUGUUUUGUGUUUUGUAUUGGUUUUGUUUUGUGUUUUGUGUUUUGUAUUGGUUUUGUUUUGUUUUUGUUUGUACUGGUUUUGUUUUGUGUUUUGUAUUGGUUUUGUUUGAGUUUUGUAUUGGUUUUGUUUUGUGUUUUGUAUUGGUUUUGUUUGAGUUUUGUAUUGGUUUUGUUUUGUGCUUUGUUUGAGUUUUGUAUUGGUUUUGUUUGUGUUUUGUAUUGGUUUUGUUUUAUUUGUUUUAUUUUGGGGGGUUGUAUUGGUUUUUUAUUUAGUAUUUGUUUUGUGUUUUUUAUUGUUUUUUUUUUCGUUUUGUAUUGGCUUUGUUUUGUGCUUUAUUUGUGUUUGUAUUGGUUUUGUUUAGUUUUGUGUUUUGUAUUGGAUUAUUUUUGGGGGGUUAUAUUGGUUUUGUUUUGUGGUAGCAUUGGUUUUGUGCUUUGUGUUAGUAUUGGUUUUGUGUUUUGUAUUGGUUUUGUUUUGUGUUUUGUAUUGGUUUUGUUUUGUGUUUUGUAUUGGAUUAUUUUGGGGGGUUGUAUUGGUUUUAUUUUGUGUUAGUAUUGGUUUUGUGUUUUGUUUUGUGUUAAUAUUGGUUUUGUUUUGUGUUUUGUUUGGGUUUUGUAUUGUUUUUUUUAGUAUUUGUUUUGUAUUGGUUUUGUUUGUUUGUAUUGGUUUUGUUUUGUGUUUUGUUUGUGUUUCGUAAUGGUUUUGUUUUGUUUUGUGUUUUGUUUGUGUUUUGUAUUGGUUUAUUUGGGGUAUUGGUUUUGUUUUGUGUUAGCAUUGGUUUUGUGUUAGUAUUGGUUUUGUGUUUUGUAAUGGUUUUGUUUGUGUUUUGUAUUGGUUUUGUUUUGUAUUGGUUUUGUUUUGUUUAGGUUUUGUUUUUAGUGUUUGUUUUGUGUUUUGUAUUGGUUCUGUUUUGUGUUAAUUUUGGUUUUGUUUUUUGUUUUAAUAUUAGGUUUGGGUUUUGUGUUGGUUUUGGACUAAUUUUGUUUUGUGUUUUGCAUUGGUGGAAAUAAUAGCACAACUGAAGGUGUAUAAAUAAUGAUAACAAUUUUUAUGAUCUGGGGUCAAAGAAAUUUUUACACAAAAGGCAAAAAUAAUUUACAAAAGCAUGUUUUAUUAUUAUGACUUAUUUUUAUUUUUUUUAAAGAAAGAAAAUUGUUAGUUCAAGCCCUGGACCAUGAAAGUAACUGUGGUUGAAAACCUUUACACCUUGUUUGCACGUACGUACACACAUACAUAUUCCACUCUGUCGUAACAGACCCGUGUAUCAUUACACACUAUAACAUUAAGGCACAAGCAUUAAAGUGAAAAUGACACGAAGCAGAUAUUCUUUGUCAGUCCGCGUGGAUAAUAACAGCCACUUAUCAUGUUAGCUCCUCCUCGACUCAAACACGUAUGUAAAAAGUGCAGCAGUACAAGUGGAGAGGGGAAGUGUGAAAGGUCAACCGUCAGUUUUAAUAUGAGCCGUGCACUUCUAAUGAAAUGCUGGUUGCAAUAUGUGUUGAAUAUGAAUGCAUUAAUUCCUUAAAUGCCUCUCCGAUUUGUGUGCCUCUGC